GACGAACGCUGGCGGCGUGCUUAACACAUGCAAGUCGAACGGAAAGGCCCUGCUUUUGUGGGGUGCUCGAGUGGCGAACGGGUGAGUAACACGUGAGUAACCUGCCCUUGACUUUUGGAUAACUUCAGGAAACUGUGGCUAAUACCGGAUAGGAGCUCCUGCUGCAUGGUGGGGGUUGGAAAGUUUCGGCGGUUGGGGAUGGACUCGCGGCUUAUCAGCUUGUUGGUGGGGUAGUGGCUUACCAAGGCUUUGACGGGUAGCCGGCCUGAGAGGGUGACCGGCCACAUUGGGACUGAGAGACGGCCCAGACUCCUACGGGAGGCAGCAGUGGGGAAUAUUGCACAAUGGGCGGAAGCCUGAUGCAGCAACGCCGCGUGCGGGAUGACGGCCUUCGGGUUGUAAACCGCUGUCGCCUGUGACGAAGCGUGAGUGACGGUAAUGGGUAAAGAAGCACCGGCUAACUACGUG
rnacentral:rRNA from 1 species